rnacentral:rRNA from 1 species
UACGUAGGGGGCUAGCGUUGUCCGGAAUCAUUGGGCGUAAAGAGCGCGUAGGCGGCUAGAUAAGUCCGGUGUGAAAGUCACAGGCUCAACCUGUGAAUGCCGCUGGAAACUGUCUGGCUAGAGUCCGGAAGGGGCGAGUGGAAUUCCUGGUGUAGCGGUGAAAUGCGCAGAUAUCAGGAGGAACACCUAUAGCGAAGGCAGCUUGCUGGGACGUUACUGACGCUAAGGCGCGAAAGCGUGGGGAGCGAACAGG